AUUGAACGCUGGCGGCAGGCCUAACACAUGCAAGUCGAACGAAGUCUUCGGACUUAGUGGCGGACGGGUGAGUAACACGUGGGAACGUACCUUUUGGUUCGGAACAACUCAGGGAAACUUGAGCUAAUACCGGAUGAGCCCUUAGGGGGAAAGAUUUAUCGCCGAAAGAGCGGCCCGCGUUAGAUUAGCUAGUUGGUGAGGUAAAGGCUCACCAAGGCUACGAUCUAUAGCUGGUCUGAGAGGAUGAUCAGCCACACUGGGACUGAGACACGGCCGAGACUCCUACGGGAGGCAGCAGUGGGGAAUCGUGCGCAAUGGGCGAAAGCCUGACGCAGCCAUGCCGCGUGAAUGAUGAAGGUCUUAGGAUUGUAAAAUUCUUUUACCAGGGACGAUAAUGACGGUACCUGGAAAAAAAGCCCCGGCUAACUUCGUGCCAGCCGCCGCCGUAAGAC
rnacentral:rRNA from 1 species